AAGAGGAGCUUGCUCCUCGGAACAGUGGCGGACGGGUGAGUAACACGUGAGCAACCUGGCUCUAAGAGGGGGACAACAGUUGGAAACGACUGCUAAUACCGCAUAACGUAUCGGGAUGGCAUCUUCCUGAUACCAAAGAUUUUAUCGCUUAGAGAUGGGCUCGCGUCUGAUUAGAUAGUUGGCGGGGUAACGGCCCACCAAGUCGACGAUCAGUAGCCGGACUGAGAGGUUGAACGGCCACAUUGGGACUGAGACACGGCCCAGACUCCUACGGGAGGCAGCAGUGGGGGAUAUUGGACAAUGGGGGCAACCCUGAUCCAGCGACGCCGCGUGAGGGAAGAAGGUUUUCGGAUUGUAAACCUCUGUUGACGGAGAAAAAAAUGAUGGUAUCCGUUUAGAAAGCCACGGCUAACUACGUGCCAGCAGCCGCGGUAAUACGUAGGUGGCAAGCGUUGUCCGGAAUUACUGGGUGUAAAGGGAGUGUAGGCGGGAUAGCAAGUCAGAAGUGAAAAUUACGGGCUCAACUCGUAACCUGCUUUUGAAACUGACAUUCUUGAGUGAAGUAGAGGCAAGCGGAAUUCCUAGUGUAGCGGUGAAAUGCGUAGAUAUUAGGAGGAACACCAGUGGCGAAGGCGGCUUGCUGGGCUUU
rnacentral:rRNA from 1 species